AGAGUUUGAUCAUGGCUCAGAUUGAACGCUGGCGGCAGGCCUAACACAUGCAAGUCGAGCGGUAGCACAGAGAGCUUGCUCUCGGGUGACGAGCGGCGGACGGGUGAGUAAUGUCUGGGAAACUGCCUGAUGGAGGGGGAUAACUACUGGAAACGGUAGCUAAUACCGCAUAACGUCGCAAGACCAAAGUGGGGGACCUUCGGGCCUCAUGCCAUCAGAUGUGCCCAGAUGGGAUUAGCUAGUAGGUGGGGUAACGGCUCACCUAGGCGACGAUCCCUAGCUGGUCUGAGAGGAUGACCAGCCACACUGGAACUGAGACACGGUCCAGACUCCUACGGGAGGCAGCAGUGGGGAAUAUUGCACAAUGGGCGCAAGCCUGAUGCAGCCAUGCCGCGUGUGUGAAGAAGGCCUUCGGGUUGUAAAGCACUUUCAGCGGGGAGGAAGGCGGUGAGGUUAAUAACCUCAUCGAUUGACGUUACCCGCAGAAGAAGCACCGGCUAACUCCGUGCCAGCAGCCGCGGUAAUACGGAGGGUGCAAGCGUUAAUCGGAAUUACUGGGCGUAAAGCGCACGCAGGCGGUCUGUCAAGUCGGAUGUGAAAUCCCCGGGCUCAACCUGGGAACUGCAUUCGAAACUGGCAGGCUAGAGUCUUGUAGAGGGGGGUAGAAUUCCAGGUGUAGCGGUGAAAUGCGUAGAGAUCUGGAGGAAUACCGGUGGGCGAAGGCGGCCCCCUGGACAAAGACUGACGCUCAGGUGCGAAAGCGUGGGGAGCAAACAGGAUUAGAUACCCUGGUAGUCCACGCCGUAAACGAUGUCGAUUUGGAGGUUGUGCCCUUGAGGCGUGGCUUCCGGAGCUAACGCGUUAAAUCGACCGCCUGGGGAGUACGGCCGCAAGGUUAAAACUCAAAUGAAUUGACGGGGGCCCGCACAAGCGGUGGAGCAUGUGGUUUAAUUCGAUGCAACGCGAAGAACCUUACCUGGUCUUGACAUCCACAGAACUUUCCAGAGAUGGAUUGGUGCCUUCGGGAACUGUGAGACAGGUGCUGCAUGGCUGUCGUCAGCUCGUGUUGUGAAAUGUUGGGUUAAGUCCCGCAACGAGCGCAACCCUUAUCCUUUGUUGCCAGCGGUUAGGCCGGGAACUCAAAGGAGACUGCCAGUGAUAAACUGGAGGAAGGUGGGGAUGACGUCAAGUCAUCAUGGCCCUUACGACCAGGGCUACACACGUGCUACAAUGGCAUAUACAAAGAGAAGCGACCUCGCGAGAGCAAGCGGACCUCAUAAAGUAUGUCGUAGUCCGGAUUGGAGUCUGCAACUCGACUCCAUGAAGUCGGAAUCGCUAGUAAUCGUAGAUCAGAAUGCUACGGUGAAUACGUUCCCGGGCCUUGUACACACCGCCCGUCACACCAUGGGAGUGGGUUGCAAAAGAAGUAGGUAGCUUAACCUUCGGGAGGGCGCUUACCACUUUGUGAUUCAUGACUGGGGUGAAGUCGUAACAAGGUAACCGUAGGGGAACCUGCGGUUGGAUCACCU
rnacentral:rRNA from 1 species